UUCUGUAAUUGUAGGAGGUCGCGGACUGCGCAUGCCUAUUUUCCGUAUUAGCAUAAAAGAAGAACAAGGGACUCUAGUUUUCUAGUAAUCUGCUGGUUUUGGGUCAUUGAGAACUAACUGUAUCAUAUCAUAUGCUGUUAAUGCAGAUCCUAUUCGACCGAUGUACAGUCAGGACCAUUGACUUGGGAAAUAAGGACCCCUGCCUGGCCACCACUGCGCUGUUCUUGGUGGUGAGAAAGAUGCUGACUGAUCUUCAAAUAAUUAACCAAUCAAUUAACUUAACGGACUAAAUAAAAUGCUUAGAGGUUCAUACAUCAGGGGACCUUUCAAAGUACGUGCAUGUUACCUUAAAUUGAGGAUGUCCUGCUGAAUUGAAUUGGAUUAACAAGUCUUUGUUGAAUGCCUCGUAAAGGAAAGAGAUCUGAAGCUCAAAAACAGCGUAGGAGAAACGAUCGAGCUUUGAUGUCGAACACUGUCCAGUAAUCUGGCUGUCAGGUCCUUGCAGUCGGGUCUUGCAACAUUUACAAUUAAAGGAUAAAAAUGGAGUACAAAGUGUACUUAAACGAAGAGGCACCAGUUUCAGCUGCCACAAAAAGGCAUCCAGCCAAACAGAUGGGAGUUGGAUUAAAAUAGAUAGCUGAAUUGACAUUUUAAUAAAUUAAAUAAAAAAGUAUAGAAAUAAAACGUAAAAGUGUACAGCCUGUUUGUUUGCAUAAAUGCAUAAUUGUAAUGGUUUAGAGUACUAAUUUAUUUUUAUA